rnacentral:snRNA from 1 species
AUCUCUACCUGCCAAGGGAGCUGCUAUGAUCAUGAAAGUGGUUUUCCCAUCUCAUCCUUUAUAUUCCAGAAGUACUGAGCCCUGCAGUUUCCCCAAAUGUGAGAAAUAUGAAUACAUAAUUGAUAUAAUUAGGGACUGCCUUCCCACUUCUCCCUA